rnacentral:tRNA from 1 species
UUCCCCCUAGUUAAUGAAAUAACUUUAGAUUGUCAAUCUAACAUAGCCCCCUCCCCGGCUCUUCAAU